AGAGUUGUACACUCAUCAUUUAUAUGUCACCAAUAACUGUUAGGUGAGGUGGCAUGUAAAUUGGUGGGACCGUAGCACCCCACUUGAAAUCUAGAGUCGCAAGGUUUCCGUUUCUCUACCAGAGGAGUGUGAGAGAUUCGAGGAAAUAGUGGGAGGUGUAUUUGUUUUACAAAAAAAAGGCCCUAAAAUAAAUAGAGUUCAAGUACAAAAUUCUAACUAGAAUCUUUACUCUCUGAGGAUUAUAAAGUCAGCUUCUAGACUCUUAACUCAUAUCCUAUAGAACAACCGUUUGACCAAACCCAAUUAUAAAAACUAGCUCAGCAAAUUUCAAAAUAGUUUUGAAUUGUGAGAAAUUACGGUAUAUGCUAGACCAUGGAAUCCCUGUGUUACCAAUCCGUCCGAUUACUGGUCAGCAUAAGACGCAUGCUAAGUGGACGAACAAUAACAAUAAAGUUAGGUGCUGCAUAAUGGCAUCCAUGUCCAAUGAAUUACAAUGCCAGCAUGAGAACAUAAAGACCGCCAGGGACAUAUUAUAUCACCUACAAGAGUUGUAUGGUGAACAGAGUCACGCAGUAUGUUUUGAAGUGUCCAAG
rnacentral:lncRNA from 1 species